AAUAGAUACCCCGGUAGUCCACGCCGUAAACGAUGAGUGCUAAGUGUUAGAGGGUUUCCGCCCUUUAGUGCUGCAGCUAACGCAUUAAGCACUCCGCCUGGGGAGUACGGUCGCAAGACUGAAACUCAAAGGAAUUGACGGGGGCCCGCACAAGCGGUGGGGCAUGUGGUUUAAUUCGAAGCAACGCGAAGAACCUUACCAGGUCUUGACAUCCCACUGACCGGUAUAGAGAUAUACCUUUCCCUUCGGGGACAGUGGUGACAGGUGGUGCAUGGUUGUCGUCAGCUCGUGUCGUGAGAUGUUGGGUUAAGUCCCGCAACGAGCGCAACCCUUGAUCUUAGUUGCCAGCAUUUAGUUGGGCACUCUAAGGUGACUGCCGGUGACAAACCGGAGGAAGGUGGGGAUGACGUCAAAUCAUCAUGCCCCCUUAUGACCUGGGCUACACACGUGCUACAAUGGCGUAUACAAAGUGUUGCAAGCCAGCGAUGGUGAGCCAAUCACAAAAAGUACGUCUCAGUUCGGAUUGCAGG
rnacentral:rRNA from 1 species